rnacentral:rRNA from 1 species
GGAUUGAACGCUGGCGGCAUGCCUAACACAUGCAAGUCGAACGGGAGUAGCAAUACUCUAGUGGCGGACGGGUGAGGAAUACGUAGGAAUUUGCCCUUAAGUGGGGGAUAACCCGGGGAAACCCGGAUUAAUACCGCAUGACCUCGAAGAGCAAAGUGGGGGAUCGCAAGACCUCACGCUUUUGGAGAAGCCUACGUCGGAUUAGCUAGUUGGUGAGGUAAUGGCUCACCAAGGCGACGAUCCGUAACUGGUCUGAGAGGAUGAUCAGUCACACCGGAACUGAGACACGGUCCGGACUCCGUACGGGAGGCAGGCAGUGGGGAAUAUUGGACAAUGGGCGCAAGCCUGAUCCAGCAAGUCGCCGCGUGUGUAGAAGUAAGGCCGUUUCGGUUAGGUAAGCGUAACGUUUAAGGUUGGGAAACGAAAAACUCGGACU